GCGGAUGUGGCGAAACUGGUAGACGCACGGGACUUAAAAUCCCUCGCCCCAUGGGCAUGCGGGUUCGAGUCCCGCCAUCCGCACCA
rnacentral:tRNA from 1 species